UUUUUAGGAUAAAAGCUUAGUAGUAAAGUAACUUAAAUGUAGAUGGCCCAUGAAUUCAAUAAUCUCGUCUAAUAUUGUUUAAAUGUAUGUGUAAGUGUUAACUGUCAGAAUAUAUGACUAAGCAUUCUAAAGCAUGAAGAUUACAUUUUCUCAAAUCUUUACUCACUUUUAAAUCGUCUGGCUGAAGAGUGGAAGCAAGUUCGGUGAAUAAUUUACGUUUUUAUUUGAUUCGAAGUUUUUUGAUUAAUUUUUCACGCGGAACAAAGGCUCUGCUCUCGAGCAAUUAUUUAUCGUACAAAAGCAGCGUCCGAUUGACGCUUUUUGUACGGGCUAAAAAGCUCUACGGCCUUUUUCGGCCAUUACUACUCCACGAGGUGGACAUCUGGACCGUGCAGGCCCGCCAUUACGGUAGCCAAACGGGUAUAGAGGCCCUCCGACCUGCCGAGAAUCCGGAGAAGGUUCAUUUUGUCACGGUGGUCGCGUAGUCCCGAAGGCGAAGACCAGUUGGAGGCACGUUGGCCUUCUACGAGAGGAGACGGUAGAGUAUCGGACAUCAGCCAUUGCCCAUACCCGCAACUUUACUUCGGCCUAUCACGCACGUGUGCCCCUCCCGGCGACGCUUCUGCCGAGGAGUCGGGAUGUUUCCUGAAACGCAUGGUUCGGACACCCGCUGCAGCCGGUACCCAGUGCUGAACAUCACGCGACGUUGCAACACCCCUGCCGGUUCGCUCAGCUGCCAGCAUUAACAUAAAUCCUGAUCAGGUAUGUCGCUAACCAUGGCCAUGUCACUCACACUACAACACUCACACUUACG